rnacentral:snRNA from 1 species
AGAGAUACAUGGCAGGGGAGAUACCAUGAUCAGGAAGGUGGUUUUCCCAAGGUGAGGCUCAUCCAUUGCACUCGAGAUGUGCUGGCUCCUGUGAUUUCCCCAAAUUUGGGAAACUUGACUGCAUAAGUUGUAGUGGGGAACUGCAUUCUCACUCUCCCCU